CCUACGGGUGGCAGCAGUGGGGAAUAUUGCACAAUGGGGGAAACCCUGAUGCAGCGACGCCGCGUGAGUGAAGAAGUAUUUCGGUACGUAAAGCUCUAUCUGCAGGGAAGAAAAAAAGUCCUUUGGACUUUGGACGGUACCUGACUAAGAAGCCCCGGCUAACUACGUGCCAGCAGCCGCGGUAAUACGUAGGGGGCAAGCGUUAUCCGGAUUUACUGGGUGUAAAGGGAGCGUAGACGGCAGCGCAAGUCUGGAGUGAAAUGCCGGGGCCCAACCCCGGAACUGCUUUGGAAACUGUGCAGCUUGAGUGCAGGAGAGGUAAGCGGAAUUCCUAGUGUAGCGGUGAAAUGCGUAGAUAUUAGGCGGAACACCAGUGGCGAAGGCGGCUUACUGGACUGUAACUGACGUUGAGGCUCGAAAGCGUGGGGAGCAAACAGGAUUAGAUACCCGUGUAGUC
rnacentral:rRNA from 1 species